GUUUGAUCAUGGCUCAGGACGAACGCUGGCGGCGUGCCUAAUACAUGCAAGUCGAACGCUUCUUUCCUCCCGAGUGCUUGCACUCAAUUGGAAAGAGGAGUGGCGGACGGGUGAGUAACACGUGGGUAACCUACCCAUCAGAGGGGGAUAACACUUGGAAACAGGUGCUAAUACCGCAUAACAGUUUAUGCCGCAUGGCAUAAGAGUGAAAGGCGCUUUCGGGUGUCGCUGAUGGAUGGACCCGCGGUGCAUUAGCUAGUUGGUGAGGUAACGGCUCACCAAGGCCACGAUGCAUAGCCGACCUGAGAGGGUGAUCGGCCACACUGGGACUGAGACACGGCCCAGACUCCUACGGGAGGCAGCAGUAGGGAAUCUUCGGCAAUGGACGAAAGUCUGACCGAGCAACGCCGCGUGAGUGAAGAAGGUUUUCGGAUCGUAAAACUCUGUUGUUAGAGAAGAACAAGGACGUUAGUAACUGAACGUCCCCUGACGGUAUCUAACCAGAAAGCCACGGCUAACUACGUGCCAGCAGCCGCGGUAAUACGUAGGUGGCAAGCGUUGUCCGGAUUUAUUGGGCGUAAAGCGAGCGCAGGCGGUUUCUUAAGUCUGAUGUGAAAGCCCCCGGCUCAACCGGGGAGGGUCAUUGGAAACUGGGAGACUGAGGCAGAAGAGA
rnacentral:rRNA from 1 species